rnacentral:rRNA from 1 species
UACGUAGGGUGCGAGCGUUAAUCGGAAUUACUGGGCGUAAAGCGUGCGCAGGCGGUUUUUUAAGUCAGAUGUGAAAUCCCCGGGCUCAACCUGGGAAUGGCAUUUGGGACUGCAAGGCUGGAGUUUGGCAGAGGAGACUGGAAUUCCUGGUGUAGCAGUGAAAUGCGUAGAUAUCAGGAGGAAUACCGAUGGCGAAGGCAGGUCUCUGGGCUAUAACUGACGCUCAUGCACGAAAGCGUGGGGAGCAAACAGG